CUGGUGUCCUGAUUGAUAUGUUGUUGAACCAAUAGGUGUUGGCCGUGGUUUGGCUGGUUGGUUAAAUGUUGUUCCUCCCUCAGGACAGUGACCUGGAGGCCAUGAUGAGGCAGAUGGAGAGGCUUCUGGACGGAGAGGCUGGAGGGUGCUGUGUGGUCGUCUGGGGGAGGAGGCCUUCCAGCGGCUUUAUGAGGACCUGAAGGAGGCCAGGAUGAGGCGGGAGGGGGACAGCAGGGUCCUGGACUCUCUAGACCCGAGAGACGGGUUCCUACUGGACCAGAUCCUGUACCAUGAAGACCAGGUCCUCUCCCACCAAGACCAGCAAGACCAGAUACCACAGAGCAGCCAACAGGAAGAGGGUUGAUGUCUGUCUGUCUGUCUGUCUGUCUGUCUGUCUGUCUGUCUGUCUGUCUGUCUGUCUGUCUG
ensembl:lncRNA